rnacentral:rRNA from 1 species
CCGUGCGAAGGUAGCGCAAUCACUUGUCUUUUAAAUAGGGACCUGUAUGAAUGGCAUAACGAGGGCUUGACUGUCUCCUCUUUCAAGUCAAUGAAAUUGAUCUCCCCGUGCAGAAGCGGGGAUAAACACAUAAAGACGAGAAGACCCUAUGGAGCUUUAGACACUAAAGCAGAUCAGCAUUAUUACCCCUCACACGGGGCUCGAAUAAACUGCCCCCUGCCCUACUGUCUUAGUUGGGGCGACCGCGGAGAAAUACAAACCCCGCAAGGACUGAAUGUACCACAUUCAACAACCAAGAGUGACAGCUCUAAUUUAACAGAACUUUCUGACCAAUCGGAUCCCGGCAAUGCCGAUCAAUGGACCAAGUUAACCCUUAGGAUUAACACAGGCGCCAAUUCUCCCUCUUUAGAGGCCCAUAUCGGACGAGGAAGGUUUACGAACUUCCAAUGUUGGAUCCAGGACAUCCUUAAUGGGUGUAAGCCCGGCUAUUUAAAGGGUUCGUUUGUUCAACGAUUAAAGUCCUACCGUGAUUCUGA